CUUCCUUUAGACCAAGCACGGGUACGGAGUAGAUGGAGUUAAACACCUUUUAAGUUGACAGAACGAGGAGACAAAUGAUCAGAAGUCCAUUCACUGUUUCGCCGCUCAUGAGGGGGAGAGCCUCUGCAGCAAGUCCCGCGACCUGCUCUUGCCAGAUGCUUCGGACAGACUCUCGCCGUUCUGCUGAAAACGGCUGAUUUUUAUUGAAGAUUACAGGAAUGUUACAUACGUAGUUUGCCAUACACACACGUAAUUCUGCCAUCUGCACCUGCAGACGCACGUCAGCUAAUAGCCUUGUUAAUGAAAGACCAAUUCAUCCCAAGGACAUGCAACCUUGAGAUGAUCAGGACACAUCCUGCAACAUCCUUUGCUAACAAAGACAGUUGUUCUUGUAUUGAGGAACUGAAGGAAGGAACGCUUUCACUCCCUUAUGCAGCUGUUCAGCUUGAGCAGAAAAGGCACAGAGAGGUCUUUGAUAUUAUAACAAGAUUCCAUGAAAAGGCAUAUAAUAAUGUAUUUAUGAUAAUAUAUAAGGGGCAAAAGUGAGAGAUACAUAUUUAAUCAUAUAAAAGAGCUUAUAAUAAUAUAUGAAAGAGCUUAUAUGAGAGAUAUAUAUUUUCAAUCCCCCUUUUGAACUCUUUUAAGAGUUCAAUAAAGAUAUAAGAAAUCAAAACAAUACCACCAAAUUCCAUCAAAAAGAAUCCAAUAAGCAAAGUUUUUUUUAAAAUACCAAUACAAACAACCAAUCAGAUUACAUUUACUCAUCUUUCUAGCAGUAAACUAAUACAAAAAACAUGAUCAUACUUUCAACUGAACAUGUUACAACAUGUAUGGAUCGCAUGCAACUCCAUAUGAGGGCGAAAAACCCUAAUUAUCAUAUGUUUAUAGGGAAAAUUCCCCCAUGUCCCCCCAUUUGUCAUAUCUCAAUUUUGGGGCGAACGCCUGUUGGCAUAGAGUGUGCAUGCCUAGGACAUCAAUGAUCAAAAGAAAUAAAAACAACACAAUCAAAAAACUCAUAGAAAUAAACAGUUUAAGGGAUUGUUACAGAAAUCACUCAAUAUUCUCACACUCUAACAACAUCUUCUUCAUCAUGAGAGUCAUCACUUUCAUCAGAGGGUUCCCCUCCCAAAUAGAUGUUAGGAUUGGCUAGUAACAAGGGCAUCUGGAUAAUUGGGUCAGCAGGUGGAGGGUGUAAAAUAUUACCCUUGUAAAAUAAAUGAGGGUGUUAAAUACAACCCUUGUAGAAUGUUCAUAGGGUGGUUACUUCUUCCCCCUGUUGAGGACCCUUCACUGGCUCCAGGCAGCUGCAGGGGGUGAUGAUGUCAUGAUUCUCGUCCUGCAGGAUGUGGUGGUAGCUUGGCAUGCUACUGCAGUCAGCUACUUCUCUUCCUGGUUUUUGGAUCCUUUCUCUGGUUAGGCAGAUGUCAGCUGCUUCUCUUCCAGGUUAGGCUCCUCCCGUCCAGCCGGACAGCGUGUGACGUCCUCUCCGUGAUCCUGUAUGGCUCGGUCCACCUCGGUUCCGUCCACUUCCUUUUGGUGACUUUUAGCAGGACCCAGACGCCUGGCACCGAAGACGAAGCCUCUUCGUGUGUAGUUUUGGUCCAAUGAAGGCUUUCUCGGCUUGUGCAGUCCUUGAUCUCGGCAGAUAGUUGGUAGGAAGAUUCACACUCCGGCCGGACCAGAAGUUCCCCGGACCGAUCGCCUAGGGAUUAGAGGUUAUGCACAAAAAUGUCCUAGCUCUUACUGACCCUAGCCUCUGAUACCUUCAACAUCAGACACAUACAGUUACGAACAGCAAGCGCAAUUAAAGGUACAGUGACAUCACGACAUGGACACACACAGACACACAAACACAUACACAUGCACAUACACACACAGAGAGAGGGAGAGAGUAAGAAUGUGUGUGGGAGAAAGAAAUGAGUGGGAUCCACUUUGCCACCAGCAUCUCCACCUGUGUCACAGAGAAAAAAUUGCAAAGAAAUUAAAACACAAAGCAAACAACAAUAAUUCAAUGAGUAUAAAUGAUCAAACUAAAAUAUACAACCAUGCAUGGGUUUUAUAACAGUUCCGGCAACACUGGAGAGGAAGCCUUGUACAAUGAAUUCUUAAGAUGUCCUUCAUCAAUUAGAGGUUAUAACCAAAUUGUUUCAGGAUCCUGAAUUUGAAUUUGAAUUGGUUAAUUUACUCAGAAUAGUCCAAUGUCUUUGUUGAUGUUUCUCAAGGCUCAGCCACGCCCAUAUAGAUAAAUAAACAAACAAACAAGACAAACACAGUCAAACACACGGUCCAUACACGUCUCUGUGCCCUCACACACCAAGCAAAUGUCAGACUGAAGCGAAAGUGUGAAAACACUUAACCUAACGCUAAAUCAGUGGAAAGAAAAAAAAUAAGACCUAAAGCGUGUAAUCAAAUUAAUCCAACAAAACUUCCCAUAACUGCCGUUCUAAACUCAUGUUGCGGUGUGAUCUCUCCAAUUAGAAAUUAGGACAACCACUUUUACUAUCAAUUCAACCAAAUAGUUUCAGGUUGUCCCUUACCUAAACUACCUGUCUUUCUUACCUUCUUUCUUUCUUUCUUUCUUUCUUUUUUAGGAACACUACUCGCACAAGAAAUCCUAAGAAUUAAUUCACUACUUAAGGUUAAUUCAUAAAUAACGAAACUGCAGUUACAGGUUUGUUUGUGCAUAGUAUUGGUAAUCAGCAGUUUUUUCCUUAUCUCCUCAUCUAGAAGUGUUUCUGUGCUACUCCUCCAUCUAUAACACAAGUUAGUAUCAUCCUUAAAGCAUCUGAAAUUAAGCUGCAUUGCUAAAUCAAUAACGUGAUUUGUGCUAAGAAAUACUCCCCUAUCCUCUUCCUUUUUCCAGUGGCGCUGAAUGACAGAUUUUAGAUCAAUUUAACGUUUUAUCACUAUUACGUUUCAUUUAAUUAAUUUUGCUUUUUCUCUCUUAUUUUUGUCUAUUUAUUUAUUUAUGUUAUUUACUUAUUUAUCAUGCCAUCCUGUGAUGAUAAUCUUAAAGACUUUUUAGCCAAUUGUCGUCAAAAAGGCCAUUUAAAAAUAUUAUGUUAAAGAUUUCACAAGAUAAAAAUGUGAACAUAAUUUUUUAUCGAAUGAGGGGUACAAUUAUUCAAUAUUUUUGUGACAUUAUUUUCUACGUUAGAACUUACAGCUGAUAGAAAAAUAUAGGAUCAGCUAGGUUUGGCUAGAUCUGUUGGGAAACUCAACGGAGCUGAAACAACACUGUUGUCUCGGAUGAGAUGUUCCAUGAAUCAUUUAGUCAGCUGGAUGCCAAAUUAUUCAUUUAAUGUUUAUUUUUAUGCAAUGAAUGGAAUGGGAUGGAACGUUACUAUAAACUAUCCGGAAAUUUGCGCAUGUUUGCUCGAAGGAGAGAACUGUUGAAGCCUAAAGCGUUCUCCUAGACUUAUAAAUAGACACCGUUUCCUUAACCAAUGAAAAUAAGUGAUGACGCUGAUGUAUUCCGUUUUGAAAAGAAAAUAAGGCUUUACUGCAUGUCCGCUGCAGCUGAGAAUCCUAGGACAAUAAAGAUUAUAUUGACGUCCAAUGGUGAGUUGGGCUGAAAUCCAGGUUACUAAUCCUAUUAUUUAUUUAUUUAUUGAUAUUAUUAUUAUCUUUUUUAGGCUAACUUUCUCAGUUAACUAUGUUCUACAGUAGUUUAGUAAAUUUUCCACAGUUCUGACAUUUCAUCAAUUCAACUGGUUGUUGCCAAAAAGCCUUGUUCAUUACCUGACUGCAGCAAGCACUCUUUUACUGGGUGUAACCAUAGGAAACAGUCUCUUUUGAGCCUCUCUUUGUAAGUCCAGGAUGACCACCGUCAUUGAUUAAAGUUCACAUGUUAGCACACAUGCUCCCCCUUUUGUACUUUGUUUCAUCAGCAGCAGGGCAAAUAAGUUUCUGCCUCUUUGUCCAUCUUGUAGUGCUCCCCGUCUUGAUGUUAUAAGUCACAGUUUUUGGUGAGGGCUUCCAGGUUCUCUUUGUAUAGAAGUCAGACCCAAACAUUCUUUGCAGCUGGUUGUGACAGGCCCACCCAGUAAAGUUCAUGCCCGCCACAAUGCACAGCAAACGUUUUCCUUAAAUAUGUUGAUUGAGUUGAAAUGACAGAACUUUCUCUUUUACAAAUCAAAAUCAACGAUGGUUUCUAAUAUUUAGUCGACUUUAUUGACUCAAAAAUAAAUCUGAACUACUUCCUAUGCACAAUUUGUUCUGAAUCAUCAAAUCAGUUCUACACAGGUUUUAAACAUUAAGCACAAUCUAUCCCAAAUGCAAGAUCCCUCCUUUCAUUUUUUAUUUAUCUAUUUUAUUUUGGGAAAAUAACUACCAGUUUUUAACUCAAAACAGCCUAGUACAGUUUCUAGCCAGGUUACAGGAAAUAAUACUUAGUUUAUCUGUUUUUUCAUUAUUCAGCGUCCCAAAAUCCAGCCAUUAACGUUAAUGGUUCUUAAAGUUGAGGCAAGACAAUUAUUGGAUUUUGUUUUAUAGCAAGAUUUAACAAAUAUUUUAUUUCCUUACUGAUUAUUUGUUAAUUUUAUGGUUUUCAUAAAGAUGAUCCUGAGAGGUUCAGAGCUGCUUUUCGCAGCACCCUGUGCUAUUUUUAGACUGCGGAACUCCUGUGUGUAAAAGUGGGUGGAGUCAGGUCCCCAGGCUGAAACUCCAGUCAUUCUCACUAGAUCUGUCCGAGAGGAAGGAUCUCCUGAAUACCCUAACCAGAAGCCUUAAGUCUCUCGAACUAAAUAACCGUCUAGUAAAAACAUGGACCGCACCCUGUUUCUCAAGCAGCUGCUCCCUCUAUUAAAAACUGCGUCAUUCAGAAGAUCCAGCGAAAGCAGCAUUUACUUCUCAUGCAAGAAGACACACAUUCACUCAUUCACAAGGCACAGAGACAUUCUUUGUUUGUCACAGUCUCUUUUUAUUAUUAUUAUUAUUUUUUAAAAGUAAGUCAGUUCGUCACUUAUUUAUUCUCUCUCUAUAUAUAUAUAAUAUUUUAAGCACAGAAUUUAUUUAACACUGCACUGGUUAUUUUCAGAAUUUAAUGCUUACUAUGCUUUUAAGCAGGCCUUAUGUAACAUUAGAGCAAAUCCAAUUGCAAUUUUUUUGAGAGCGCUCUGAGGAAUAGUUUAUAUAUUUAUUUUCUGCAGAUCUGUUUUGAUUUUACUGUUUAGCAGCUAUAUGACUAUAUUUCUAAAAUAAAGCUGUCAUUUACAUCCUUA